rnacentral:snRNA from 1 species
AUUGCUUCUCGGCCUUUUGGCUAAGAUCAAGUGUAGAUAGGUCAUUUGUUUUUUUAAUUCAUCCUGUUACCCUAU